rnacentral:ncRNA from 1 species
UGAUAGCUAUGAAGCGUGAGGUUGCUGCUGAUAGUGUGAAAGCACUGUAUGGCAGGUUUUCCGUGGAGCGAAUGUCAAGUUAGGAAACUGGCGACAA